UGAUUUAAGGGCCUAGGCAGCAAGGGGAAGCUCUCAGGGUGUGUAUCCCAUCAAAAACACAUACAAAUCGGUCUGAUUUUCACUCAAGGGUCAUUUUUAAUUUCCAGGCAUUUUAUUUAGUUUCUGGAGGUGGAAUCUGCUUGAAAACUGACAGGAAAGUCUCUUUUGCUUCCUUGGGAAACUUGCAGUGUGGAGAUAGAAGUUGCCUUGCUUGCCUUAUGUGAACAGGCAGAUCUUGAGCAAAUGAAAUUCCACUAUUAUUCCAGAUGAUAAAUGGAUAGGAAUGCUUUCAUGCUUUGCUCAGAUGGCAAUUUCAAAUGGUGAAGGUCCAGGUAGUGGAAUCUGGAAGGGAGAUCUGGAAACUUUGAAGACUUACGUUGACUAUAUAAAUGGGACGACAGAAUGUCUGCCGAUUUUCUUGAUGGGAUAUAGAAGUGCUAUGUUGAAUGAUAUUAUGACCGAAGUUUCCAAUGAAAGAAAAGGGGCAACUGCACCAUUCUUCAAUGCAGUAAGAAAUACAAUGUUGGAUGCAGUGCCUAAUACCAUAGUCAACAAAGAUAAAAUUAGAUAUGUGACUACGUUUAGUAGGAAGACAAGGCAUGUUAUGCAAGUGAUACAAAAAAAAUUGGAAAGUAUUAAUGGCUAUGCCUGAAUUGAAGCCUAUUAUAGGCACUAAACCCUGUUUUGCAUAUAGUACAAGAAAAAACCUAAAAAUAAUGUUAUGUUACAAGGAUUUUAAGAUGCCUAGAGUAAUUAAUAACAAACAAGGUACGUUCCCAUGUUAUAAUUGCAGUUGUUGUAAAAACAUUAUUGUUUGCAAUUAUUUUAUUCAUACAGUAACGGGGAGAAAGUUUAUAUUUUCUUGUUAUGCAACGUGUAAUACUUAUUGUGCUGUUUAUCUUGCUACAUGUUCACAAUGUCCAUGUUUUUACAUUGGUAAAUGUAGUUGAAAGUUCAAAAAACAUAUUAUAGAGCAUAAAUCGGACAUUAGAAGAAAUGUUAUAACAAAUGCUUUGGCUAAACAUAUUAUGGAUAAUGAUGAUACACAUACUUUCAAAUUCAGAGCCGUUAGUGUUAUACAUAAAAAUGUCAGGAGAGGGACAUAAAUAAUAUCUUGGAGAAUGAAGACUACAGUUGGAUCUUAAGCUUCAAGGCUGAUAGUCUUCCAGGCUUGAACAAUGCAAUUAGUCUAAAACCAGUUUUAAUUAGGAAGCAAAUGCAAUUGUGAUAAUAUCACUUGGUUUUACUAUGAUUGAGUGGCAGUGUCAAGUGUUUUAAUGCUCAAUUUAUAUAAAUUGAAUGUGUUUUAAUACUUUGUUCAUAAAGCACUGAGGAAGGGGAAACCUGAAAGCUUUGCUUACCGUUUUGUUUUUAUUAAAGUCUGGAGUGUUUCUUUGUUUCUGAGUUUUGUUUUCGGAUAUUGGCCAUCUGAACAGGGUAUUCUUGAAAGUGUUGUCUUCAUGUAUUGAAAGAGCUCACAGGGCACUUGUGGCCCCUCUGUCAUCAAAAAAAGUAAUACAAAUCUGAGAUCCAUAAUU